AAGAAAAAUCUGUGUUUCAAAUGUCACUCUCACUCAACAUGGCCUUAUGGAUUGGUUGGUUACUUGUUUAUGUACCGUUUUGACGUGGAAAUUAAAUGGAGUUUUGGUGGUUCCAGGAAUGCUGGUUGGUGCCAUUGAAAUGACAGUGGAAGAAGUGAAAAUGGACGUGAUCAAGGCAAGGGACAGGUUUUGGUCAUAAAUGGUGGUUGGCUAAUGAAUAAUGGGCGUGGGGUCAGAGUUAACGCCGUUACUGUUAGUGGCGGCUGACUUUUAUUUAAAAGCUGCGCGCUUCCUUCUCUCCAGUCUCCUCAAGCUUCUGUUUGUCUGCUUCUGUUGAAACACGUCUGCUCAUCAUCUUCUAUUCCUUGUCUGUAUUUUAUAAUUUUUUUUUUUUUACUUUUAUGUAUUUGCAUUUAGGGAUAUCAAUCUUACCCAUAACCUCAUAAAUUCAUCUAAAUCCAUAAGUAAAAACAUGGUUGUUGUGGAUUUGAUAAUUUAAAUUUUGUGUAAGUACAUAUUUAAUAAUGGCAAACCUGCUGCAAGCAGUAUCUAUUGUUAUCUCUAUUUGCCUUUGAAAAAAGUAAUGAAUUAAUUAAGUUAAUU
rnacentral:lncRNA from 1 species